rnacentral:rRNA from 1 species
GACGAACCGUGCGAACGUUAUUCGGAAUCACUGGGCUUAAAGGGCGCGUAGGCGGGUCACCAAGUCCGGGGUGAAAUCCCACGGCCCAACCGUGGAAGUGCCUUGGAUACUGAUGACCUCGAGGGGGUAGGGGCGUGCGGAACUCAGGGUGGAGCGGUGAAAUGCGUAGAUAUCCUGAGGAACACCGGUGGCGAAAGCGGCGCGCUGGACCCCUUCUGACGCUGAGGCGCGAAAGCCAGGGGAGCAAACGGG